rnacentral:rRNA from 1 species
UACGAAGGGGGCUAGCGUUGCUCGGAAUUACUGGGCGUAAAGAGCGCGCAGGCGGUCGUCCAAGUCGCGUGUGAAAGCCCCCGGCUCAACUGGGGAGGGUCACGCGAUACUGAUCGACUCGAAGGCAGGAGAGGGAAGCGGAAUUCCCGGUGUAGUGGUGAAAUGCGUAGAUAUCGGGAGGAACACCAGUGGCGAAGGCGGCUUCCUGGCCUGUUCUUGACGCUGAGGCGCGAAAGCUAGGGUAGCAAACGGG